rnacentral:rRNA from 1 species
AUGAGGCAGCUUCACCAGAAUCAUAAUCUUCCCUGGCUAUUAGUUGGUGAUCUCAAUGAGAUCCAGUUCCUGCAUGAAAAGGAAGGAGGAAAUCCAAGACCACCUCAGUAUAUGAUGGCUUUCCAAGAUGCAAUUGAGGAUUGUGAACUUCAUGAUCUGGGAUUUGUUGGGGAAAGAUUCACAUGGCAUAGAGGAAGGAUCAGGGAAAGAUUAGACCGGGGAUUAGUGAAUGAUGCCUGAUCAACCCUCUUCCCACAAGCAGCUCUUCAAAACUUAGAGUAUAACCAUUCCGAUCAUCGACCGCUCCUUGUGGAUACUGACUUUUAUGUUCACUCGGGAAACACACCUACUGCGCAGCCGAGAAGAUUUGAAUCCCGAUGGUUCCGAGAGGCUGAUUUUGGUGCUAUGGUGGAGAAAGCAUGGAGUGACGCUGGUGCAGAUCUAGAGGUGAAUAAUAUUAGUGAUAAGUUGAAUAAGAUGCAUUCACAGUUUCAUGACUGGGAUCAGCGGGUGUUGAAGAAACCGAAAAACGGCUCCGGAAAGCUCAGAUGGACCUCGAGAGAGUUAUGA